CCUACGGGAGGCUGCAGUGAGGAAUAUUGGUCAAUGGGGGCGACCCUGAACCAGCCAAGUAGCGUGAAGGAUGACUGCCCUACGGGUUGUAAACUUCUUUUAUAAAGGAAUAAAGUGAGGCACGUGUGCCUUUUUGCAUGUACUUCAUGAAUAAGGACCGGCUAAUUCCGUACCAGCAGCCGCGGUAAUACGGAGGAUCCGAGCGUUAUCCGGAUUUAUUGGGUUUAAAGGGAGCGUAGAUGGGUUGUUAAGUCAGUUGUGAAAGUUUGCGGCUCAACCGUGAAAUUGCAGUGGAUACUGGGAGCCUGGAGUGCGGGUGAGGUAGGCGGAAUUCGUGGUGUAGCGGUGAAAUGC
rnacentral:rRNA from 1 species